rfam:Enterobacter cloacae S611 EDP2.NODE_1914, whole genome shotgun sequence.
CGCUAUCAUCAUUAACUUUAUUUAUUACCGUCAUUCGAAUCUGAAUGUCUGUUUACCCCUCUUCAAACCGGAUGCUCCGCAUUCGGUUUUUUUU